rnacentral:rRNA from 1 species
CCUACGGGAGGCAGCAGUGAGGAAUAUUGGUCAAUGGACGAGAGUCUGAACCAGCCAAGUAGCGUGAAGGAUGACUGCCCUAUGGGUUGUAAACUUCUUUUAUCUGGGAAUAAAACGUUCCACGUGUGGGAUUUUGUAUGUACCCUAUGAAUAAGGAUCGGCUAACUCCGUGCCAGCAGCCGCGGUAAUACGGAGGAUCCGAGCGUUAUCCGGAUUUAUUGGGUUUAAAGGGAGCGUAGGUGGAUUGUUAAGUCAGUUGUGAAAGUUUGCGGCUCAACCGUAAAAGUGCAGUUGAAACUGGCAGUCUUGAGUACAGUAGAGGUGGGCGGAAUUCGUGGUGUAGCGGUGAAAUGCUUAGAUAUCACGAAGAACUCCGAUUGCGAAGGCAGUUCACUGGACUGCAACUGACACUGAGGCUCGAAAGUGUGGGUAUCAAACAGGAUUAGAUACCCGUGUAGUC